rnacentral:rRNA from 1 species
CAGAACGAACGCUGGCGGCGCGUCUUAAGCAUGCAAGUCGAGCGGCAGGGGGGAGCAAUCCUUCCGAGAGCGGCGGACUGGUGAGUAACGCGUGGGUGACCUGCCCGUUGGUUGGGGAUAGCCAUUAGAAAUAGUGGGUAAUACCGAAUAAGGUUGCACGGAUAAAGCCGUGCAAAGAAAGGGGCUUUGGCCCCGCCUUAAGAUGGGCCCGCGUUCCAUUAGCUGGUUGGUGAGGUAAGAGCCCACCAAGGCGAUGAUGGGUAGCCGGCCUGAGAGGGUGAACGGCCACAUUGGGACUGAGAUACGGCCCAAACUCCUACGGGAGGCAGCAGCUAAGAAUAUUCCGCAAUGGGCGAAAGCCUGACGGAGCGACGCCGCGUGUAUGAAGAAGGCCGAAAGGUUGUAAAGUACUUUUGUUGCUGAAGAAUAAGCGGGGGAGGGAAUGCCCCCGUGAUGACGUAG